ACCGACGAAGGCGAUUACAAAAUCAAACUGAAGAAACUGACUGAGUUUUUAGAGGAAGGUGAUAAAGCUAAAGUCACUGUUCGCUUCCGUGGACGGGAGAUGGCUCACCGUGAAUUGGGUAUGGAAGUGCUCAAGCGUGUCGAAACGGACUUGACUGAGUUAGGUGUCGUCGAGCAGUUUCCUAAGCUCGAAGGCCGCCAAAUGGUCAUGGUCAUGGCACCGAAGAAAAAAGUUUAAUGUCUAAAUCAGAAGUGUUAGUGCGCGUUAUCGGUGCAGAUGGCGUAAAUAAAGGUGUUAUGUCUAAAUCAGCAGCACAAGCGUUAGCGGAUGA
rnacentral:misc_RNA from 1 species